GGUUUCGUGGUCUAGAGGUAUGAUUCUCGCUUAGGGUAACUCCCUGAGUCAAACUUGCGAGAGGUCCCGGGUUCAAUCCCCGACGAAACCC